rnacentral:rRNA from 1 species
AUUGAACGCUGGCGGCAUGCCUUACACAUGCAAGUCGAACGGUAACAGGUCUUCGGAUGCUGACGAGUGGCGAACGGGUGAGUAAUACAUCGGAACGUGCCUAGUAGUGGGGGAUAACUACUCGAAAGAGUGGCUAAUACCGCAUGAGAUCUACGGAUGAAAGCAGGGGAUCGCAAGACCUCGUGCUACUAGAGCGGCCGAUGGCAGAUUAGGUAGUUGGUGGGAUAAAAGCUUACCAAGCCGACGAUCUGUAGCUGGUCUGAGAGGACGAUCAGCCAACAUGUGACUGAGACACGGCCCAGACUCCUACGGGAGGCAGCAGUGGGGAAUUUUGGACAAUGGGCGCAAGCCUGAUCCAGCAAUGCCGCGUGCAGGAUGAAGGCCUUCGGGUUGUAAACUGCUUUUGUACGGAACGAAAAGCCCUGGGUUAAUACCCUGGGGUCAUGACGGUACCGUAAGAAUAAGCACCGGCUAACUACGUGCCAGCAGCCGCCGUAAGAC